GCGAUCGUAGCUCAGUUGGUAGAGCACCGGGUUGUGAUCCUGGAUGUCGCGGGUUCGAGUCCCGUCGAUCGCC
rnacentral:tRNA from 3 species